AGAUCCUAUACUAAAGUGCGUAAUAUGCACUAGAGUCUAUUAAAAAAGAAAAAAUCAUAAGAUCAGAUUUGAGUAAUUCAACAUAUCUUCUAAAAGCAUGUCAAUAUUUCUUUAGGUUCUCUAAGUAUGUACCUCUGAACUCUUCAAGAUCUCUUAGUAUAUUGAUCAAUUCAGUUAAGGUGCUAUAACAUUUAUUCAUAUAAUAGUUUCAUAAACUACCUAUAUGAAUCAGGGAUUGCAGGAUCAAAUCC
rnacentral:lncRNA from 1 species